rnacentral:rRNA from 1 species
AUGGAGUGUUUCUUGGAGCUAUUUGAUCAGUUGACUAUGUAUGAGCCCAAUCCCAGCCAAGUCCACUAUGUCACCAGGUUCAUGGAAGGCCUAGUGCCCUCGGUCCGCUUGUUGGUGGGUAUUCAGCAGCCAUCUAACUUGGAUACAACAUACGCGUUGGCUUUACUAUCUGAAGAACUGGGUGAUCACUCUCUGCAGCCAACAUAUUCAGUUAGUUCAGUUGCUCAUAGCAAGAAAAAUUUCCUUCCUUCAGCUUGCAGUGUUGCUGUUAGUAAAGCUGUUGAGGAUAGACCUGCUGCAGAGUCAAGCCGUCCAGUGCCAGUUGAGGACCGUUGUGAUCAAGAAGCAGUGACUCCAAGUGACCAAGCACAGGACCUGGGCCGGCCCAGAAGACAGCCUCGCCUGCCGGCUCAGCUGGCUGGCCCGGAGUGGGCCCAUGUGGGCAAUAGCUGCGGCCGGAUCCAGCGCAUCAUCGACGACCGCAGGGCGAGGCGUGCAGCCGACGGUCCCCGCAGCACCGACAAUGAGGACCUGCUAGACGUGCUCCUCAGGUUGCAGGAGGAGGAAUCGUUGACAUUCCCUUUAACCACGAAAAUAAUUGGCGUGGUCAUCUUUAAUAAUAGGCAUGGUUACCAACCACCUAAUUUUGCUAGUGAUACCACAAGAACGACGUUGGAGUGGGCAAUGUCAGAGCUCUUGAACAACCCCAAAGUCAUGGCAAAGGCACAACUAGAGUUGCAGGAAGUGCUAGGUCCGGACCGAGCAGCCAUCACAAACUCCGACCUCGGUGGACUCCACUACCUUUGGAUGGUCAUCAUGGAGACCCUGAGGUUGCAUCCUGCGGGUGUUAUCAUCCUCCGAGGGGCCAGAGAGGAUUGUAAAAUAUUAGGUUAUGGCAUUCCUAAAAGCACCAAGGUGCACAUUAACGUCUUCGCAAUAUCGAGGGACUCUGGAUAUUGGGAAGACCCUGAAGCUUUUAAACCAGAGAGGUUUGAGAACAACGACAUAGAUUAUAAGGGCACACACUUUGAUUUCAUCCCCUUCGGGGCUGGGAGACGGCAGUGCCCAGGAAUUCUAUUUGGUAUGUCAACCCUGGAGCUAGCACUAGCGAACCUUCUCUAUCACUUUGACUAG